rnacentral:ncRNA from 2 species
UGGACAACAUCCGUCUUCCCACAUACUGUGUGCAGUGCUCUGCUGAGGAAGGUGCUCAUUGCAUUCAUUUAUAAGAGUAAUUAGGACCUCCCUGAGCGGAGUAAUGCUCACUUAAAGUACGUCUGCGGUGUCUUCCAGAGCGGUG